UGGCUGGGGACAGUUUUUGGUCUCAAGAGUCCUGGGCAGUGCUAAGGGGAAAAAAUCCAAAACCAAUUAAGGGUAGAAAAAUGAAGCAGAGAGCACUUUGGGAAAGCCUGGCUGUGUCAGGCUGUUCCUCCCUGUGCCCUGGAGCUGUGCCAAGGAGUGGCAGGGGGGUGGUGGCAGCAGUGACAGUGACAAGCUGGGCAGCUGCAGAGCGAGGAGCAGCGGGAUCGCCCUGAGAGCGCCAUGAGGGGUUUCCAGAGGGGCUCCCAGCUCCUGGCAGCUGCACUCCGGAUCAGCCGGGUCCCCCGGGCACAGCUCCGCUCCCUCCCACCCGAGCACCCGCUCUCUCCUGGUGAACAAACUGUGGCCCUCGCCCUGAUGUUCUCAUCCUUCCUGCUGCCCACAGCCUGGGUCCUGAGCAACAUCUACAACUACAGGAGCAGGCCCGAGUGAGGAGGGGCAGGAGCAGCCUGAUCCCUGCUGGGAGCAUCCCGAGGGAAGAGGCCUCGGGACAGAGCCUCGCCGGGAUGGAACCCCCCGAGCCUGCUCAUUAAAAUCCACCUUUGCAUUCA